rnacentral:rRNA from 1 species
UGACCUCGGAUCAUGUAGGGAUACCCGCUGAACUUAAGCAUAUCAAUAAGCGGAGGA